rnacentral:rRNA from 1 species
UACGUAGGGGGCGAGCGUUGUCCGGAAUGACUGGGCGUAAAGGGCGCGUAGGUGGCCUUACAAGUCUGGAGUGAAAGUCCCGUUUUUAAGGUGGGAAUGGCUUUGGAAACUGUAAGGCUUGAGUGUGGGAGAGGAUAGCGGAAUUCCCGGUGUAGCGGUGAAAUGCGUAGAGAUCGGGAGGAACACCAGUGGCGAAGGCGGCUAUCUGGACCAAGACUGACACUGAAGCGCGAAAGCGUGGGUAGCAAACAGG